AUUACCGCGGCUGCUGGGGAUAGCCAUUAGAAAUAGUGGGUAAUACCGAAUACGCUUCCAUGAUUGCGGUUGUGGAAGGAAAGGCGCUACGGCGCCGACCCGAGAUGAGCCCGCGCCCCAUUAGCUAGUUGGUGAGGUAACGGCCCACCAAGGCGAUGAUGGGUAGGCGGCCUGAGAGGGUGUACGCCCACAUUGGGACUGAGAUACGGCCCAAACUCCUACGGGAGGCAGCAGCUAAGAAUAUUCCGCAAUGGACGAAAGUCUGACGGAGCGACGCCGCGUGGAUGAUGAAGGCCGGAAGGUUGUAAAAUCCUUUUGUCGGGGAAGAAUAAGCAUGGGAGGGAAUGCCCGUGUGAUGACAUGAACCGGCGAAUAAGCCCCGGCUAACUACGUGCCAGCAGCCGCGGUAAU
rnacentral:rRNA from 1 species